rnacentral:rRNA from 1 species
GACGAACGCUGGCGGCGUGCUUAACACAUGCAAGUCGAACGGUGAAGGGGCCUGCUUUUGUGGGCCCUGGAUGAGUGGCGAACGGGUGAGUAACACGUGAGUAACCUGCCCCCUUCUUCUGGAUAACCGCAUGAAAGUGUGGCUAAUACGGGAUAUUCUGGGUCUGUCGCAUGAUGGGUCUGGGAAAGAUUGCGCCUUUGGGUGUUUUUGGUGGGGGAUGGGCUCGCGGCCUAUCAGCUUGUUGGUGGGGUGAUGGCCUACCAAGGCGGUGACGGGUAGCCGGGCUGAGAGGGUGGACGGUCACACUGGGACUGAGACACGGCCCAGACUCCUACGGGAGGCAGCAGUGGGGAAGAUUGCAGAAUGGGCGCAAGCCUGAUGCAGCGACGCCGCGUGAGGGAGGGAGGCCUUCGGGUUGUAAACCUCUUUCGCCAGUGAAGCAGGCCUGCUCCUUGUGGGUGGGUUGACGGUAGCUGGAUAAGAAGCGCCGGCUAACUACGUG